rnacentral:lncRNA from 1 species
AGUAAAGUGGUACACAGGUCUUCAACCUCUACCCCUUGCUACAGCUAUAAAUAGAGGUCUCUCAACCAAAUCAAAGACACACAGAUACAGAGGCACACACCAGGAGGCAUCUCAUACACUCAAGUGGUGAAGUUCCAAACUACUAAGGUCUGGGUCUCUAAGCUCCUCAAGUCUUCCGCAUAUCAAGGCUUGAGCCUUCAAAUAUUUUCCAGUUCUUCAAAUCUUCCAUAUCAAGAUUUGAAAGAAUCGGUGGUGGAUCCAAGAACAAGCUGCGAAGCCCUUGGAUUGGUGUUUGAGGAGAAGAAUCGAGGGAAACUCUCCACAAGUUCGAGAAAACGCCAGAGAUUGUACCGACAUAUUUUUCUAAAUUUAUAUAUCAUAUAUUUGUCGUGUAUUU